ACGCUCGACACCUACGGGAGGCAGCAGUGGGGAAUAUUGCACAAUGGGGGAAACCCUGAUGCAGCGACGCCGCGUGAAGGAAGAAGUAUCUCGGUAUGUAAACUUCUAUCAGCAGGGAANAAAUGACGGUACCUGACUAAGAACGCCCCGGCUAACUACGUGCCAACAGCCGCGGUAAUCUGAGGCGGGCUGGCAAGGC
rnacentral:rRNA from 1 species